rnacentral:rRNA from 1 species
AUUGAACGCUGGCGGCAGGCCUAACACUUGCAAGUCGAGCGAGCGGCGGACGGGUGAGUAAUGUAUGGGGAACUGCCCGAUAGAGGGGGAUAACUACUGGAAACGGUGGCUAAUACCGCAUACUAUCCGAUGGACCCCUAUGGGAUUGGCUAGUAGGUGGGGUAAAGGCAAACCUAGGCUAAGAACUCUAGCUGGCCUGAGAGGAAGAUCAGCCACACUGGGACUGAGACACGGCCCAGACUCCUACGGGAGGCAGCAGUGGGGAAUAUUGCACAAUGGGCGCAAGCCUGAUGCAGCCAUGCCGCGUGUAUGAAGAAGGCCUUAGGGUUGUAAAGUACGUUCAGCGGGGAGGCGUUACCCGAAGAAGAAGCACCGGCUAACUCCGUGCCAGCAGCCGCGGUAAUAC